GGAGGAAAGCAGGGGAUCGUAAGACCUUGCGUUAAUGGAGCGGCCGAUAUCUGAUUAGCUAGUUGGUGAGGUAAAGGCUCACCAAGGCGACGAUCAGUAGCUGGUUUGAGAGAACGACCAGCCACACUGGAACUGAGACACGGUCCAGACUCCUACGGGAGGCAGCAGUGGGGAAUUUUGGUCAAUGGGGGCAACCCUGAUCCAGCCAUUCCGCGUGAGUGAAGAAGGCCUUCGGGUUGUAAAGCUCUUUCGCAAGGGAAGAAAACUUAUGAUCGAAUAAAUCAUGAGGUUGACGGUACCUUGAUAAGAAGCACCGGCUAACUACGUGCCAGCAGCCGCGGUAAUACGUAGGGUGCGAGCGUUAAUCGGAAUUACUGGGCGUAAAGCGUGCGCAGGCGGUUUUGUAAGUCGGAUGUGAAAUCCCCGGGCUCAACCUGGGAACUGCGUUUGAAACUACAAAGCUAG
rnacentral:rRNA from 1 species